rnacentral:rRNA from 1 species
GGAGGCAGCAGUAGGGAAUAUUGGACAAUGGGCGCAAGCCUGAUCCAGCCAUGCCGCGUGCAGGAAGAUGGUCCUAUGGAUUGUAAACUGCUUUUAUACAGAAAAAAAACAACUCUACGUGUAGAGUCUUGACGGUACUGUAGGAAUAAGGAUCGGCUAACUCCGUGCCAGCAGCCGCGGUAAGACGAGGGAUCCUAGC